CCCUCGAGCCCCUUCGGACUCGGUGUUGGGGAUCGGCCGUCCUAGCGGCGGCCGGCCCCGAAAUAUAGUGGCGGUCUCGCUGUAGCCUCCUCUGCGUAGUAGUAAAACCCUCGCAGGUGGAGCUCGGUGUUGCCAUGCCGUAAAACCCCCAACUUAUCAAGGUUGACCUCAGAUCAGGUAGGAAUACCCGCUGAACUUAA
rnacentral:misc_RNA from 1 species